rnacentral:rRNA from 1 species
GGUGAGUAACACGUGAGUAACCUGCCCUUGACUUUGGGAUAACUUCAGGAAACUGGGGCUAAUACCGGAUAGGAGCUCCUGCUGCAUGGUGGGGGUUGGAAAGUUUCGGCGGUUGGGGAUGGACUCGCGGCUUAUCAGCUUGUUGGUGGGGUAGUGGCUUACCAAGGCUUUGACGGGUAGCCGGCCUGAGAGGGUGACCGGCCACAUUGGGGCUGAGAUACGGCCCAG